GGAGAUUUAGAGAGAUGGAAAAAUUACUUAGUCCUCAUGACCACAAAAUGAGAAGAAUAGUAGCUUCCAUCUGUCAAGGAUGUUGUGAGUGAUCCUAUAAUAUCCCUUCAAGAGAAAUAUGUGACUAAUAAACCAGGUUGAAAAGAAUCACCCACUCAGUUUACUCAACAGAUAUUUUCUG
rnacentral:lncRNA from 1 species